UGCUUGGAGCUAUUCUCGAAGCCUCGAA
rnacentral:sRNA from 1 species